rnacentral:rRNA from 1 species
AUUGAACGCUGGCGGCAUGCCUUACACAUGCAAGUCGAACGGCAGCACGGGUGCUUGCACCUGGUGGCGAGUGGCGAACGGGUGAGUAAUACAUCGGAACGUACCUUAUCGUGGGGGAUAACGCAGCGAAAGUUGCGCUACUACCGCAUACGCCCUGAGGGGGAACGCGGGGGACUGGAAGGCAUAGCGCGAGUAGAUCGGCCGAUGUCUGAUUAGCUUGUUGGUGAGAUAAAAGCUCACCAAGGCGAUGAUCAGUAGCAGGUAUGAGAAGACAAUCAGCGACACUGGGACUGAGACACGGCGCAGACUCCUGCGGGAGGCAGCAGUGGGGAAUUUUGGACAAUGGGGGCAACCCUGAUCCAGCAAUGCCGCGUGAGUGAAGAAGGCCUUCGGGUUGUAAAGCUCUUUUGUCAGGGAAGAAACAGCAGCUCUAACACAGUCUGCGAAUGACGGUACCUGAAGAAUAAGCACCGGCUAACUACGUGCCAGCCACCGCCGUAA